GGGCUAUUAGCUCAGUUGGUAGAGCACUGGACUUUUAAUCCAGUUGUCCCGGGUUCGAGCCCCGGAUGGCUCA
rfam:Clostridiales bacterium GWE2_32_10 gwe2_scaffold_288, whole genome shotgun sequence.